UAGAAAAUCAGAAAUAUUACAUUAAUCAGAAUACGAAACGCAUUUUUAUACACACAAAGACACACGAACAAAGGGGGUGACGAAAGAGAGAAAAAAGUGAGAGAGGUUUUCAAAUUCUCCGCCGCUUCAAGCAUAGAAGCAACAGGAAUUCGUCUCUGGUCAAAUUCGUGAUAUCCUUGAUGGGUGCUCCUAAGCAAAAAUGGACAUCAGAAGAAGAAGCAGCUCUUAAAGCUGGAAUUGUCAAGCAUGGGGCAGGGAAGUGGCGUACAAUUCUUAAAGAUCCAGAAUUUAGUGGUAUCUUGUACCUACGUUCAAAUGUAGAUCUCAAGGACAAGUGGAGAAAUUUGAGUGUUAUGGCAAAUGGAUGGGGCUCUAGAGAUAAGGCAAGAGUAGCACUUAAAAGGAUGCAGCAAGUUCCUAAACAGGAUGAGAAUUCCAUGGCUCUUAGUACAGUAGUUGAAAGUGAUGAAGAACCCGUUGAUGCCAAGCCUCUUGCAGUAUCUAAUGUUUCUGCACAGAGUAGUGUUCCAAAAAGAUCAAUCAUAAGGUUGGACAAUCUUAUAAUGGAGGCUAUAAAUAACUUGAAGGAGCUUGGUGGUUCUAACAAGACAACUAUAUCUACAUAUAUAGAGGAACAAUACUGGGUGCCUCCAAACUUUAAAAGACUAUUAUCAGCAAAAUUGAAAUUUUUGACUGCAAGCGGGAAACUAAUCAAGAUGAAACGGAAGUACAGAAUUACACCAACUUCAGCUUUAUCUGACAAAAGAAGAAACUCUUCCAUACUCCUGGAGGGAAGGGAAAGGGAUCCUCCUAGGUUUGACAGGGAUGAUACCAGUAAUCUGCGAAAACCUGAGAUCGAUUUAGAUUUAGCCAAGAUGAGGAGUAUGAAUCCACAAGAGGCUGCUGCAGCUGCUGCUCAAGCAGUUGCAGAGGCAGAAGCUGCUAUGGCAGAAGCCGAAGAAGCAGAAAGGGAGGCAGAGGUAGCAGAAGCUGAUGCAGAAGCAGCACAGGCUUUUGCAGAAGCAGCAAUGAAGACACUGAAAGGAAGAAACACACUAGGGGUGAUGAUCCGUGCUUGAUAGGCAUUGACAAAAUGGUCAAUUAUGAGAUGAACUAGGGCAUUCUGUGGAUCAGCUCCCACAUGGAUCUGUGUAUUUCUUCUCAGUAUUUGGUCUGUUGUUGUAGAUAAGGAAUGAAAUAUAUUGCACUGUUAGGAAAUUUUAGAAUGCCUCCAAAUGGGAAAAGCCAGUAAAUACAAAGAAAUGGUAAAAGUUUGAUUCAAUUGGGAUGUUUAUUGUACAGUGAUCACGUCCAUGGUCCCGUUUAUUGCUUGAACCUUUGAGAUAGAAUUAUGAAUGGAACUGUUGACAGUA